UUCAUUUUAUUUUAAACACCAAAAUGAAAAUACAUAACAUAACUACAAAGUAAAGCAAAACAUUUUCCCAAAUCAAUUUCUUAUGAAACUGUAGUAAAACUGAAUUUUUAGUUAAAUCAUCUUUAUUUUUCACUCGCAGGUAAAAGGAUCCACAAGUUUUACUCAAGUAAAAGAAAAAGUGCAGUAUCAUAAAAAUACUGCUAAAAGUACAUUUUUUCCAGAAGACGAAUAAAAGUCGGUAUUUCCUGUGUGGCUCUGGGUCGGUUUCCACCUGCUCACCUGUUUUCUUCUGGCUUUGGCUGAAACGUGUCUUCACAUCCAGCUGGUCAUCAAACAGUCAGCUGGUCGCUCAGUUUCGCGUUUAUUUGGUUUAUGUCAGUAAAGUCGCUCAUCGUUCUGCAAUCAGCUGCACAGACGAGAUGCAAACCUUUUACUGACCGAACGAGGAAAGAAGCCGCCGUCCAUCGUAACGACGAGCAUCUUCCCUCACCAACAUGGCGGCUCUCACUUCUUCUCCAGCCAUCGGAUGUGAAACUCACCGGCCUGCUGGAAACCUGUUCAGGGUUUAAAAUGAAACGUGGCUCUGACUCUAACGCCACCGCCCCCUGAGUGACUUCAGAAUAAAAGUCCUCCUUUGUCAUGUGAAGCACCUCUUGAGUCCUCCGGUCAGCAGCAGACAUUUCAAAGCCUUCGGCAGACGCGGCCCUCUCUCCCAGACAGUGGUCAUUUGUCUUGCGAUGCCUGAUUUCUUGAGUAUCCAAUGGCAGCAGAGCGCAGGUUUCCUCCAGCUCCCCACCGCUUUGGCGCUGCAGCAAAGGAGGAGUAGAAGGGUCAAACCCAGACAGACAGACAGACGGACGUCUUAAAGCAACAUUUCCAUGUUGGGUGUUGCAGGUUGC